UUCAAAACCUACUAAGAAUGAAAGAAUGGUAGUCUCCGUAAUAGGUUUCCCUGUUACUCUUUACCUCAUUCUUCGUCUUUCUUCUUUUUUUUACAGUAAGGGAAAGAAAGCAGGUCAAGGGCAAAAACAAAUGAAAAAAAAAGACAGCUAUAUCUAAAUCCGCACAUGACUUUUAUAUUUUUUUUACAGUGCAGGAAGCAGCUCAAGGGCAAACAAAUAAAUGAGAACAAAAAUAAAAAGUAGCCCCCUGUUUCUAGAUCCACGCCUGACAUUGAUCUCUCGCGCGUAAGCCAACAAAACCAUCUCAAAAAAUAGACUGAAUAAAUUUAAUCUGGAAAGCCUUGUUACAUUACGCGUGGAUUGGCGUCCUUACUCUCUCCGUCUCAUCUUUCGCAUCUCGCAACACACACAUGACUUUGAGGUGUGUGUGUGUAAUGAAAAAUAAGAACUAAUAAUAUGAAAUUAAUCUUAAAACUGAUGUCUCGUAUGUCAGUAAGGAAAGGAACACUGAUUAGGUAAACUUAAAACUGAUGUCUCGUACGUCAGUAAGGAAAGGAACACUGAUUAGGUAAACUUAAAACUGAUGUCUCGUAUGUCAGUAAGGAAAGGAACACUGAUUAGGUAAACUUAAAACUGAUGUCUCGUAUGUCAGUAAGGAAAGGAACACUGAUUAGGUAAACUUAAAACUGAUGUCUCGUGUGUCAGUAAGGAAAGGAACACUGAUUAGGUAAACUUAAAACUGAUGUCUCGUAUGUCAGUAAGGAAAGGAACACUGAUUAGGUAAACUUAAAACUGAUGUCUCGUAUGUCAGUAAGGAAAAAUCAAGACCAACAAUACGUAGAUUAACCUAAAACUGAUCUCUCGUAAGCCAGUCAAGAAAAAAACAAACAAACUGCAGGAGAUCGGAUAACAUAUAAGCCAUCAGUCGAGUCUCCGGUUGUUCUAUUUGCUCUCUUUUACAUGUAUAUCUGUUCUUAAUUCUGUGUUGUGUCUGAUGCCAUUUAUUUACGUUUCAACUAUGUCAUAUUCUAAGUGUUUUGAUAAAGCUACUCAAUAGGGCUUUAUGACGUGUUUAACUCUUGAUUCUGUGCUUUAUCUGAUGUAAUUUGCUUAAAGUGUAACUCAUUUAUAUUGCUAAGUGUUUUGAUAAAGCUACUCAAUAGGCUAUCAUGAUUAACUUGUAUUUUGAAUCUCUAUACAAUGAAUCUGAAGCCUUUACUAAAUAUUUAUCCUCUUCCAUUCUCGUACUCAAAUUAUACAUACUAUUUUAUCACUGUUUUGAUAAAGCUACUCAAUUCGCUAUUGUAACAUAACUCAUUUGUUUUUUAAAUCUCUAUACCAGGAAUAUGAAGUAUUUAAUAAACAUUUAUUUUACU